rnacentral:rRNA from 1 species
GACGAACGCUGGCGGCGUGCUUAACACAUGCAAGUCGAACGGAAAGGCCCUGCUUUUGUGGGGUGCUCGAGUGGCGAACGGGUGAGUAACACGUGAGUAACCUGCCCUUGACUUUGGGAUAACUUCAGGAAACUGGGGCUAAUACCGGAUAGGAGCUCCUGCUGCAUGGUGGGGGUUGGAAAGUUUCGGCGGUUGGGGAUGGACUCGCGGCUUAUCAGCUUGUUGGUGGGGUAGUGGCUUACCAAGGCUUUGACGGGUAGCCGGCCUGAGAGGGUGACCGGCCACCUUGGGACUGAGAUACGGCCCAGACUCCUACGGGAGGCAGCAGUGGGGAAUAUUGCACAAUGGGCGGAAGUCUGAUGCAGCAACGUCGCGUGGGGGAUGACGGCCUUCGGGUUGUAAACCGCGUUCGCCUGUGACGAAGCGUGAGUGACGGUAAUGGGUAAAGAAGCACCGGCUAACUACGUG